UACGUAGGGUGCAAGCGUUGUCCGGAAUUAUUGGGCGUAAAGAGCUCGUAGGCGGUCUGUCGCGUCGGAUGUGAAAAUCCAGGGCUCAACCCUGGACCUGCAUUCGAUACGGCAGACGUAGAGUUCGGUAGGGAGACUGGAAUUCCUGGUGUAGCGGUGAAAUGCGCAGAUAUCAGGAGGAACACCGGUGGCGAAGGCGGGUCUCUGGGCCGAAACUGACGCUGAGGAGCGAAAGCGUGGGGAGCGAACAGG
rnacentral:rRNA from 1 species